GCCCUUGUAGUUCAAUGGAUAGAACGGCGCACUCCUAGCGCGCGGAUGUAGGUUCGAUUCCUACCGAGGGCA
rnacentral:tRNA from 1 species